AGCCGGGCUUGCCAGGCAUCUCAGGUCCUAAGGGUGAUCCGGGUAUACCUGGCAUUGGACUUCCAGGCCCACCAGGCCUAAAAGGUUUCCCAGGAAUGGCUGGCCCCCCAGGAGCACCAGGAGCCCCUGGACGACCAGGGCUCGAAGGGCCACCAGGACAAUCUGGUUUCCCAGGACAAAAGGGGGACCCUGGAUUUGGUGUCCCAGGACCACCUGGGCCACCAGGGCCACCAGGUUUUAAAGGAGCUCAGGGACUGAAAGGUGAUCCUGGCUUCCCAGGAAACCCCGGUUUGCCAGGGCGGCCAGGUUCAGAUGGAAUUCCUGGGCCAAAA
rnacentral:lncRNA from 1 species